rnacentral:rRNA from 1 species
GAUGAACGCUAGCGGGAGGCUUAAUACAUGCAAGUCGAACGGUAAGGUCUAGCUUGCUAGAUACACGAGUGGCGCACGGGUGAGUAACGCGUACACAAUCUACCCUUGAUUAAGGAAUAGCCCUGGGAAACUGGGAAUAAUACCUUAUAGUAUUGCUUGUUAUAAAGGUGAGUAAUUAAAGCUCCGGCGAUCAAGGAUGAGUGUGCGUCCCAUUAGCUAGUUGGUACGGUAACGGCGUACCAAGGCGACGAUGGGUAGGGGGCGUGAGAGCGUGAUCCCCCACACGGGUACUGAGACACGGACCCGACUCCUACGGGAGGCAGCAGUAAGGAAUAUUGGACAAUGGGCGAAAGCCUGAUCCAGCCAUCCCGCGUGCAGGAUGACGGCCCUAUGGGUUGUAAACUGCUUUUAGAUAGGAAGAAACCCCGAGAUUUAUCUUGGGCUGACGGUACUAUCAGAAUAAGCACCGGCUAACUCCG